rnacentral:lncRNA from 1 species
AGUUUAAUUUGAUUGUUAUCAUGCAAACAGAGUGAGGUGGAGAGAUGCAGUAACAGUAGCUUGAUAGAGAGAGGCAGUAACAGUAGCUUGAUAGAGAGAGAGAGGCAGUAACAGUAGCUUGAUAGAGAGAGGCAGUAACAGUAGCUUGAUAGAGAGAGGCAGUAACAGUAGCUUGAUAGAGAGAGGCAGUAACAGUAGCUUGAUAGAGAGAUGCAGUAACAGUAGCUUGAUAGAGAGAGGCAGUAACAGUAGCUUGAUAGAGAGAGGCAGUAACAGUAGCUUGAUAGAGAGAGGCAGUAACAGUAGCUUGAUAGAGAGCAGUAUAGCUUGAUAGAGAGAGGCAGUAACAGUAGCUUGAUAGAGAGGCAGUGCAGCUAGCUACAUUCCAGGCACCUGCUACGCUAAUUAUAACAGGCAUUUACUCAAAAUCAACAUUUAUUUCGUACAACUUAGUUUAUCUGCACAUCCCGGUUGUGAGAUGAACAUGCCAUAGCUACAACAUCUGAAGAUCUAUGAGAGCUCUCCCAUGGAACAGGAAGUGAUGCGCAUAUACUCCUCCUCCCCCCCUCCGCUGGACGACGAAUCAGGGGGAGAGGAGGUUGAUGACGAGUUUGGGGAUUUCUCUGGGGGUGUGGCAAUGUCAUCCAACCAGCCGUGCCCCUCCAUAACAGACCCCGCCUCCCCGACCCCAUCAACGGUGCGCUUUAGUGUUAGUAACUCCUCCUCUUUCGCCGGAACUACCCAUAGCAACGGAAUCUCAAAACAGUUCCGAGCAGCUGACGACCUGAAGAAGCCAUGGGCGCCGGUGGUGGACCAAUCACAGCCCGCUAAUACUGGGACCUCAGAGAUUGGCAGGGUUCGGCUGGGGUUGGAGGUCAAAGGGCAGCCCUGUCAUUGCAACCUCCCUGACCUCCCUCUCACCAAUGGGUUUACCAAUCGACAUCACCAGGGAACUAUGUCUGCAGGUCUUGUACCGGCUGGGCAGAGCUCCCCCAGCCAGGAGCAGGGGUUUGCAGAUUUCUCUGCGUUCGCCGAGCCAGAGAUGGAGCUGGAGCCCUGGUGCUGCGGCUUCACUCACAGUACAGAGCACAGGAAGGACAGCAGGACGGAAGGGACAAACCUAACCAACGGUUUCUGUAAUGCACACUCAGUCCAGAAGGACAUAGAGCAGAUGGCCAGAAUAGAGCCUGGCGGGCCUGACUCUCAAUGUUUAGCAGAGCAAGGGGAGAGGGACUGCACUGGAGUCCAGCAACACUGUAAGCUGAGGGGCCACCCUCAGGACUCUGGCCUCUUAGCCACCACAGAGGUGCUCUGUGUUAGGGGUGAGGGCCUGGAGGAGCCUGGAGAGAGGGCACCCAGCAUCAACAGGGAUAGCACGCUUACACAGGACCCAGAACUGGGAGGGAGGAGGGCGGAGGAGGAGGAAGCUAAGGAGAGCGAAACAGAGGACAGUGUCUCUCCUCUCCCCACCACAGUCAGUGGGUCAGUGAGUGAGGAGUUUGCCUCCUUUGGUGAGGCUGUGUCGUCAGACGCUUUGGAGGAGUUUGGGGACUUUGGCGAGACGGUCUUCACUCCCUUGUCAAUAGGGGAGGAGGAGAAGGAGAAAGAGGAGGUGCAGCGGAGUGACCUCAGGGAGGAGACCAAGACAAAGAUGGUGGAGGAGGAAGAUGAAGAAGAGGACUUUGGAAACUUCAGGGAUGCUGGAUCCUUCCCUAGCCAGGAGGACUUUGUUGACUUCAACCAAUCGGAGUCCAGAACACAGGAGGGCUUCGGCGACUUUGACCAGGACUAUUCUGAGGACCCAGGUCCGACCCAGGCGUGUGGGGAGGAGGUUGGACAUGGAGACCUUCCCCUCAGCGACAGCUUUGCAGACUUCCACUCUGCUCCCCUGGAGGGCUGGGGGGCGUUUGGGGACCAGAGAGGUCUGUCAGAGGGGGAGACCUGGGCAGAGUUUGGAGAGGAGGAUAGACCCAGGUGGACAGAAGAGGCGGAGGUGAAGAAAAGUGGAGAGAGAUGUCAGGGAGGUGCUGCUGUACGAAGGGACAGUCUGCAGGUGAGUGGUCUUCUGAGUUAGUAGAGUGGAUUUAUAUUGUGUAACGCCGGAGAGACAGUCCCAGCUCCGACACCUCACAUUUCCCCAACAUGGCCGACACUGGUGAGAUGAAUGGUCAGCUGCCACAUGCUCAAAUGUAAAGUGAUAGAGCGUUGGGACUCCCAACAGGAUUCUCCAGGAGUCUGGAUAACGAGGCAUCCUACAGUACUUAGUUGUCCCACAUCUGGUAGAAAUCCACUCUGACAUUUGUAGUAUGUUUGUCAUAACCGCUGACUCCACAAGAAUAAUUCUGCCCAGGUGGGUUUUAUUAUUGUAUCAAUAGAUUGUCACUGCAGUUAGCCUACAGGUAGUUCCUACAGGUAGCUCACCCCAAAAUGAGUUUGCUGGAAUAAGACAGUUCCUGCCAGACAUCAGUUCGCUUCAAAAUCAGGUAGAUGGACAUAGUUAGUUUACAAAUCUUUCCCAUUAAUUGUGUUUGAUUACAAUGUAGUAGACUGCACUGUAGUAGAUCUCAAACAAGCCUUGUCUCUCCCAUUCAGGCCUCCAUGUCUAUCCGGCUACAGAGAGUCCUGCAGACCAGCUUCCCUGCAGUGGCAGUCCCAGAACUGGAUCAGGAGAGGGAGGAGACUGGGGUGGAGGGGGAGGAGACUGGGGUGGAGGGGGAGGAGACUGGGUUGGAGGGGGAGGAGACGGGGCUGGAGGGGGAGGAGACGGG